rnacentral:pre_miRNA from 1 species
AAUAAACCAAUUUUUUAUUUUUUACCUAUAAUUUUUGACUCCCCGUCUUAUUAAAAAAAUUUUGCGAUUGAUAUUUUUAUUUUUAUUAGAUGAUAAAUUAUAAAUAGUACUUUACGUGUGACUAAUUUUUUUCUAAUUUUCUAAAUUUUUUUUAAAUAAGACGGAUGGUCAAAUAUUGAACACGAAAAUUAGG